rnacentral:rRNA from 1 species
UAUUAGAUGGGCCCGCGUCGGAUUAGCUAGUUGGUGAGGUAAUGGCUCACCAAGGCGACGAUCCGUAGCUGGUCUGAGAGGAUGAUCAGCCACACUGGGACUGAGACACGGCCCAGACUCCUACGGGAGGCAGCAGUAGGGAAUAUUGGACAAUGGGCGAAAGCCUGAUCCAGCCAUGCCGCGUGAGUGAAGAAGGCCUUAGGGUUGUAAAGCUCUUUUGGCGGGGACGAUAAUGACGGUACCCGCAGAAUAAGCCCCGGCUAACUUCGUGCCAGCAGCCGCGGUAAUACGAAGGGGGCUAGCGUUGUUCGGAAUCACUGGGCGUAAAGCGCACGCAGGCGGACUGAUAAGUCGGGGGUGAAAUCCCGGGGCUCAACCUCGGAAUUGCCUUCGAUACUGUUAGUCUCGAGUCCGGGAGAGGUGAGUGGAAUUCCUAGUGUAGAGGUGAAAUUCGUAGAUAUUAGGAAGAACACCAGUGGC